AGGAUAAACGCUGGCGGCGUGCAUGAGACAUGCAAGUCGAACGGACACUUGGGGCUUGCUCCAAGUGUUAGUGGCGGACGGCUGAGUAACGCGUAGGUGACCUGCCCCGAAGUGGGGAAUAACUGCCCGAAAGGGUGGCUAAUACCGCAUGUGGUGGUGUGUUCAUUCACACCAGUAAAGCCGCAAGGCGCUUCGGGAGGGGCCUGCGUCCGAUUAGCUCGUUGGUGGGGUAACGGCUCACCAAGGCGACGAUCGGUAGGUGGUCUGAGAGGACGAUCACCCAGACUGGGACUGAGACACGGCCCAGACUCCUACGGGAGGCAGCAGUCGGGAAUUUUUGCGCAAUGGACGAAAGUCUGACGCAGCAACGCCGCGUGAGGGAUGAAGGCCUUCGGGUUGUAAACCUCUUUAUCAGGGAAGAUAAUGACGGUACCUGAUGAAUAAGUCACGGCUAACUACGUGCCAGCAGCCGC
rnacentral:rRNA from 1 species